CGGUUGGCGAGAGUGGCGGGGAGUGGGGUUAUCGCGUACUCUCCGCGGCACAUGGCACCGCCCGCGGGGGGACCCUCCGGCCCCUCACAUAGCCCCUGACAGCCCCGCCGGCCCCUCACACAGCCCCACAGGCCCCUCACACAGCCCCGCAGGCACUGCGGAGGGGUUCGGCCGGGGAGCGGUGGUUUGGCGUGGAGCGGGAGGGCUGUUUUCCUGCCCAGCCGAGUGCCUCGCUGCCUGGGUGUAGCAUUUGUGGUCGCCGGCUCAUUGCCCACAUGGAGACCACUGACGAGUCGUGUCCUUCAGGGGCUUUCACCAGUGAAUUUCACAAUCUUCAUUCAUUGAAAUACUAAGUCGCCUUUUUUAAUACCUGGAAGGUAUAAUCAGAGACUCUAGGGUCUAUUAUCAGCAAUGCAAGGACACAGAUUUUAUCUGGUAGUUGGACAAAAGUAGCAAGACUUUGCUCAACCUUGCUCACCUUAUACUUGACUAGCUGCAACCUAAGGAUCUCCUUGGGAAUUGCAGCUGGCAUCUUUGUUCACUGCCAGAGUAUGUGGUAGCUCUUUCACUUGGUACUCUCAGGCACUCUCUUCACAUCAUCUGAAAAAAUUUGUUCUCGGAUUAACAUGAUUGUGUGUCCAAGGCCUAAUUGUCAUUCUGGAGUGAUGAACAACACAGCUUCAGGGAAAAAAGUUCCGGAGUGGGAUAUGGACCAUAGUAUACUACAUGUGAUGUAAAGAACUAUUAUCAUCUUCCUCACCUGCUUGCCUGUCUUAUAAUUAAAAAAAAAAAUUAUAUGUAUCUGGAAGAAAUAAUUAAAAUGGAGAUAAUAUUUAUUGCCAUUGCUGGUGAUACUGGCAUGACAUAUUAGGGUGUUUAUGUAUCUUUCAAAAAAUGGUUUGUGAUUCUUUUAUGUCAGAUAAGUGAUGAGGCAGGUGUGAUUCCUAGGCAAAACAGACCCCUGCAAAUUGAAUCACAGUACCAAGGUAAGACUGUCAUUGUGCAAGCCUCUUCUGCCCUGAAGCUAAUGUGUACAAUCUGUUUUUGCAAGUGCUUUCAUAUUUUUGUUAUUUAUUAUAAACAUAUACAGCACGUAAGUGUUUUUAUUAUUGGCUGACUUUGGUAUUUUGUAGUCACGAUUGUGGUAUUUAAACAGGAGAUGAUCUGUUCUGCACAUGGAAAAGGGGCUGUGUUAUGGAGGAAAUAAUUAAAAAAACUGUUGCAAUUUUUUGGCAAGAGGGUGUUAUGAUUAUAUCUCAAAGAAUAUACCCGAUGUUCAUUAUGUUCAUGUACAAACCCAUGGCGAUUUGUAUCUGAUUUCUAGUCUGUACCUAGGGAGCAUUGUCUUUGUGUUAGAAAUGCAAGUAUGCUAUUAAUUUGUAAAGUUCUUACAUGUAUAUAGUCUCAUCUAUUUCUUUUUUAGCAGAUGUAUAAUAUUGCUUCCCAAUUUCACCCUAAGAGCUAUGAUUACUUAGAUUAAAUGAGGAAUGUCACUUUAAUAGCAACUUUUGUAAAUAAUGGAGAUCUUUUUAUAAAACUUCAUCAUAUUAACUUUAUAUUAAUAUCCAAAAUGCAUUUGGUAUGAUAAAACAGCACAUUGCCAUUGGUUAAGAAAAUUCCUUUCAAAGAAUUUGCCUGGCAGUAAUUUUUAGAACACAUUUCAAGACUUUCUGAAAAUCUUGAAAUCAAGCAUGACAUUAUUGUGUUAUAAAAAUGUGGUUGGUGAGGGACACAUAGUUAUUUUCAGGUUCCAGAUGAAGCAGAGAUGAUAAUUUAUCUCCAGUCACUGCUAGAAAAAAUUUUUAGACACUUACAGACUGCAGGCUUUUUUUUUCUUCUCCUACUGCACCAUUGUUGUACAGAGAGAUUAUUUUUACAGGAGACGUUGUGUCCAGGAUAUACAUAUCUAGCUGAAAGUUGUCUCAAGGUAGGAAAACUCCUGAAACAUUCAUCCCUCACAUCUCAGGGAUAUGAUUUCCAGGCAAAUGCUCAGCUUUAGAAAUUGUGCAUCACAGCACUGUGCAUGUAUAUAUUGGAACACGAAAUGCCAAGUAUAAUGCCAGGUUUUCUGAAGCAGAUCUAUCUUUUAGUUAAAGUAUUCUUACACUAAAUUGGUGAUUAAUAAGUAAUGUUCUAGCUGAACAAAGUCUCAGUUCAGAAGGGUGCAGUUGCUGCUCUGUGUUUAGACAUUGUCCAGCUAGGGGCCUCAAUGCAGUGCAAGAAUUCCAAAGGCAACUCUUCGAACUGAAAAAUAAAAAGAAUAUGAAGGAAGCUGGCAACAAGUUUAUAACAGCUAAUGCUCUUAUAAACAUAUUUUGAACAAUGCUAGUGUAUUGAAUUUAGGGGGUGAGUGGGCUAGAACCACAGUGUAUUGCUUCAUAUUGGUAUUUUUUUCUUAUAUGGGUCUUUAGCAUUUUUUUCCCUCCACUUGGUUACCAAGGAAUGCAAAGCAAGCUGUCACUGUGUGUAAGAUGAAAGCAAGAUCUAAGAGCUCUAGAGCAGUUGAGAACAUGGAUACAGCAUCUUGGGUGUCAGGAUGACACUAUGCUGGCAGAGGAUCUGUAAGGGACAGAGGCUUCCAUUUCCUGCUGUCAUUUUGUCAGGAUCCAGGUCAGCUGUGUUAUACAGAGAGAAAGUGUUGUCUUCAACAUGGGAAUAUGUCUCUAUAGCACCUCAGGUUGAGGGGGGUCACUACCUUGGAGUACAGGACACGUUAUGGGUUACAGGGGAAGAGCAUUUUGAGAUUGUGCAAAACUUAUCACAGGAUGUUUAGGGAAGGAACAACAAGCAGGGAAAGGGAGUGAUAGAGGUUGUUUGGGGAAAAAGAUCUUGAGGAAAAUAGAGAGAUAAGGGGCUAAAAGGGGGCAGUUGCAUGUAAACAGAUGGCUUUUCUGGCCACGCCCUCUGCUGGGUCAUCAGAAUCUGUCCUGUCCUCUCAUUAAACUCCAUUUUUAAGUUCCUG